GAGGUUGUAGCUUAGUGGUAGAGCACUUGCCUGGUACGUAUGAGGCUCUGGGUUCAAUCCUCAGCAUCA
rnacentral:tRNA from 1 species